GUACAUUUAUAUUUAUAUACAUACAUAUGUAUAUAUUUCUCUAUAUAUAUCAUAGCUUUUACACACAAUGUCAUAUAAAUGUAUUUGCAGGUGGCAAGAGGGCCCAAUGGUCCCUAGUAUAAGUGUAUUUGCAACUGUUUUUUGUGUGUGCUUAUUUUCUUGUUGUGUUUAUUUUAUACAUUUACAUUUAUAGAUGUAUAUAUUUUUCUCUAUAUAUUAUAGUGAUUACACACAAUUUCAUCAUGAUGUAACAUAGCUAUAUUAACUAUAUAUUUUAUAGGAAAUGGAUAUUUGUGCACAUAUAUGCAUACAUACAUAUAAACAAAGCACUAUUAGUAGGCCUCAAAAACAGUGUUGUGUGAAUACAGUGAGCAUAUUCUAAGAAGUGGAUGGCUGUCUAUAAAUAAAUGACUUAUGCAUUCUAUUUCUCUCACUCCUGCACUUACCAAGAUGAAGGGGUUUUCCCAGCUUUCACUUGAGUACACUCUUGGAAAUGAGAUUCUCUUCCUUUGAUUAUUUCAGGUUGACAAAUUUAUACCAAAAUAGUGGGUUUUUAUAAUCAAUAUCUUUAGGAUUGAUUUUCCUAAAUAUUAUUUUUUAAAAUAUUGAAUUGUAUCCCUUGUUUGUCUUUUAUUUUCCACAAGCAGAUGAAACUUCCUCACAAGCCGAUGGAAGAACCUGUGCGUGUCACUUCAGGGAAGUUACAUAGCAGGGUGGAAGUAGAAUGAACCUACACAUUUUGAAAACAUUUUUUUACUUUGGUCCUUGGAGGACCUAAGGGGCUUGUAAAGAAGAAGAAGGGGGUAGACUGUGAGUCUGCAGCUAAAAGGAGGAGAGAGAUGACCCAGCAACCUAGAGAAGCAGGAAGAAAGUGUUUAUUCUACCUUCCUCUCCUCCCCAGAAUUCUGCAGUGUCUGGAGAAGAGCAGAGUGGUCUCCAGUCCCCAGGAGAGGCCUGGGCCAGACCCUGCUGAAUGCAGAGAGUUAUCUGCAGGGACUAUUUAUUCGUUUCCUGGUGCUCUAGGACACAGCAGAGAGAGCUGA
rnacentral:lncRNA from 1 species